UACAGAGGUCCCAAGCGUUGUUCGGAUUUACUGGGCGUAAAGGGUGCGUAGGCGGCCAAAAAAGUCUGAUGUGAAAUCUCGGAGCUCAACUCCGGAACUGCAUUGGAUACUAGUUGGCUUGAGGAGUGGAGGGGAGACUGGAAUUCUCGGUGUAGCAGUGAAAUGCGUAGAUAUCGAGAGGAACACCAGUGGCGAAGGCGAGUCUCUGGACAUCUCCUGACGCUGAGGCACGAAAGCCAAGGGAGCAAACGGG
rnacentral:rRNA from 1 species